rnacentral:rRNA from 1 species
CAGCCCCGUACACAAAAAUGCACAUACUGUGAGCUCGAUGAGUAGGGCGGGACACGUGGUAUCCUGUCUGAAUAUGGGGGGACCAUCCUCCAAGGCUAAAUACUCCUGACUGACCGAUAGUGAACCAGUACCGUGAGGGAAAGGCGAAAAGAACCCCGGCGAGGGGAGUGAAAAAGAACCUGAAACCGUGUACGUACAAGCAGUGGGAGCCUCUUAAUGGGGUGACUGCGUACCUUUUGUAUAAUGGGUCAGCGACUUAUAUUCUGUAGCAAGGUUAACCGAAUAGGGGAGCCGAAGGGAAACCGAGUCUUAACUGGGCGUUAAGUUGCAGGGUAUAGACCCGAAACCCGGUGAUCUAGCCAUGGGCAGGUUGAAGGUUGGGUAACACUAACUGGAGGACCGAACCGACUAAUGUUGAAAAAUUAGCGGAUGACUUGUGGCUGGGGGUGAAAGGCCAAUCAAACCGGGAGAUAGCUGGUUCUCCCCGAAAGCUAUUUAGGUAGCGCCUCGUGAAUUCAUCUCCGGGGGUAGAGCACUGUUUCGGCAAGGGGGUCAUCCCGACUUACCAACCCGAUGCAAACUGCGAAUACCGGAGAAUGUUAUCACGGGAGACACACGGCGGGUGCUAACGUCCGUCGUGAAGAGGGAAACAACCCAGACCGCCAGCUAAGGUCCCAAAGUCAUGGUUAAGUGGGAAACGAUGUGGGAAGGCCCAGACAGCCAGGAUGUUGGCUUAGAAGCAGCCAUCAUUUAAAGAAAGCGUAAUAGCUCACUGGUCGAGUCGGCCUGCGCGGAAGAUGUAACGGGGCUAAACCAUGCACCGAAGCUGCGGCAGCGACACUAUGUGUUGUUGGGUAGGGGAGCGUUCUGUAAGCCUGUGAAGGUGUACUGUGAGGUAUGCUGGAGGUAUCAGAAGUGCGAAUGCUGACAUAAGUAACGAUAAAGCGGGUGAAAAGCCCGCUCGCCGGAAGACCAAGGGUUCCUGUCCAACGUUAAUCGGGGCAGGGUGAGUCGACCCCUAAGGCGAGGCCGAAAGGCGUAGUCGAUGGGAAACAGGUUAAUAUUCCUGUACUUGGUGUUACUGCGAAGGGGGGACGGAGAAGGCUAUGUUGGCCGGGCGACGGUUGUCCCGGUUUAAGCGUGUAGGCUGGUUUUCCAGGCAAAUCCGGAAAAUCAAGGCUGAGGCGUGAUGACGAGGCACUACGGUGCUGAAGCGACAAAUGCCCUGCUUCCAGGAAAAGCCUCUAAGCAUCAGGUAACAUCAAAUCGUACCCCAAACCGACACAGGUGGUCAGGUAGAGAAUACCAAGGCGCUUGAGAGAACUCGGGUGAAGGAACUAGGCAAAAUGGUGCCGUAACUUCGGGAGAAGGCACGCUGAUAUGUAGGUGAAGCGACUUGCUCGUGGAGCUGAAAUCAGUCGAAGAUACCAGCUGGCUGCAACUGUUUAUUAAAAACACAGCACUGUGCAAACACGAAAGUGGACGUAUACGGUGUGACGCCUGCCCGGUGCCGGAAGGUUAAUUGAUGGGGUUAGCGGUAACGCGAAGCUCUUGAUCGAAGCCCCGGUAAACGGCGGCCGUAACUAUAACGGUCCUAAGGUAGCGAAAUUCCUUGUCGGGUAAGUUCCGACCUGCACGAAUGGCGUAAUGAUGGCCAGGCUGUCUCCACCCGAGACUCAGUGAAAUUGAACUCGCUGUGAAGAUGCAGUGUACCCGCGGCAAGACGGAAAGACCCCGUGAACCUUUACUAUAGCUUGACACUGAACAUUGAGCCUUGAUGUGUAGGAUAGGUGGGAGGCUUUGAAGUGUGGACGCCAGUCUGCAUGGAGCCGACCUUGAAAUACCACCCUUUAAUGUUUGAUGUUCUAACGUGGGCCCCUUACCGGGGUUGCGGACAGUGUCUGGUGGGUAGUUUGACUGGGGCGGUCUCCUCCUAAAGAGUAACGGAGGAGCACGAAGGUUGGCUAAUCCUGGUCGGACAUCAGGAGGUUAGUGCAAUGGCAUAAGCCAGCUUGACUGCGAGCGUGACGGCGCGAGCAGGUGCGAAAGCAGGUCAUAGUGAUCCGGUGGUUCUGAAUGGAAGGGCCAUCGCUCAACGGAUAAAAGGUACUCCGGGGAUAACAGGCUGAUACCGCCCAAGAGUUCAUAUCGACGGCGGUGUUUGGCACCUCGAUGUCGGCUCAUCACAUCCUGGGGCUGAAGUAGGUCCCAAGGGUAUGGCUGUUCGCCAUUUAAAGUGGUACGCGAGCUGGGUUUAGAACGUCGUGAGACAGUUCGGUCCCUAUCUGCCGUGGGCGCUGGAGAACUGAGGGGGGCUGCUCCUAGUACGAGAGGACCGGAGUGGACGCAUCACUGGUGUUCGGGUUGUCAUGCCAAUGGCACUGCCCGGUAGCUAAAUGCGGAAGAGAUAAGUGCUGAAAGCAUCUAAGCACGAAACUUGCCCCGAGAUGAGUUCUCCCUGACUCCUUGAGAGUCCUGAAGGAACGUUGAAGACGACGACGUUGAUAGGCCGGGUGUGUAAGCGCAGCGAUGCGUUGAGCUAACCGGUACUAAUGAACCGUGAGGCUUAACCUU